UAUGGGAAGGGUUCUCUAUGGAAAUAGAACGCCAACGCUGACCAGGCUGUACAUAACGGUUAACAGCUUGAUGGUCAGAGAGAGGGGACGCGGUUUCUUCGCAUCGCAACAGAUUUCGUGGCUCGACUGCUUGUAGGUGAGAGGGGAGGGGGGGACGCGGGUUUCGUUGGGAUCGCAGCUGUAGACUCUGUGGAUCGAAUUUUACUGUAAAUGUGAAGAAGGUGUAACAUGUCCACGAUAUAUUUCUAUCCGUGAGUAGGGGAUGGAUCGGAGGGGAUGUCGAGGUCACGGCCGCGGGGAUUCUUUGGUUCCGUGCUCAUUCGAAUCCCGUGACUCUACCGGGAGCGAGCUCCGAAAACAACACUAUGCCUAUUCCGAGCAUAACGGACAUUACAUGGCACAAUCAUAGGGCGUACCCGAAAAGUACUAGGGGCUUUCGUCGGCGUGUUCCAAACUCUCGCGGGCGUGAGGUCUUGCGAUGGAAGUCGACCCACACGAUUCUAUACCCACCCUUCCAUGAUUUCCAGUGGUGCGAAGGUUCUGGAAAUCCCUAAACUUCUACCCUACCCCAUUACGUCACCCUGUCCCUUGGAAAUUAUAAGUCUACUCCAUGUUCAUUGCUAAUAACAUUCAAUAUAUUUCGUUGUACUUCAUCAUAGACAUGUUGCUUCAAUCAAAAACUAGCAAAC